rnacentral:rRNA from 1 species
UCCGUAGGUGAACCUGCGGAGGGAUCAUUACUGAGUGAGGGCUCCGGUCCAACCUCCAACCCUUUGUGAACCAACAUGUUGCUUUGGGGGCGACCCUGCCGUUGCGGCGGCGCGGCGCCCCCGGAGGCCAUCAAACACUGCAUCAUUGCGUCGGAGUCAGAGUAAAUGAAAUAAAACUUUCAACAACGGAUCUCUUGGUUCCAGCAUCGAUGAAGAACGCAGCGAAAUGCGAUAAGUAAUGUGAAUUGCAGAAUUCAGUGAAUCAUCGAAUCUUUGAACGCACAUUGCGCCCUCUGGUAUUCCGGGGGGCAUGCCUGUUCGAGCGUCAUUUCACCACUCAAGCCUGGCUUGGUGUUGGGCGUCGCGGCUCCGCGCGCCUUAAAGUGUUCCGGCUGAGCUAUCCGCCUCUAAGCGUUGUGGCAACUAUUCGCUUCGGAGGUUGGGCAGCUGCGGCCGUUAAAUCUUUUACAAGGUUGACCUCGGAUCAGGUAGGGAUA